rnacentral:rRNA from 1 species
AUUGCACGCUGGCGGCAGGCCUAACCCAUGCACGUCGAGCGGAGCGGCGGACGGGUGAGUAAUGCCUAGGAAUCUGCCUGGUAGUGGGGGAUCACGUCCGGAACCGGGCGCUAAUACCGCAUACUCUCAGAUGAGCCUAGGUCGGAUUAGCUAGUUGGUGGGGUAAAGGCCUACCAAGGCGACGAUCCGUAACUGGUCUGAGAGGAUGACCAGCAACACUGGAACUGAGACAAGGUCCAGACUCCUACGGGAGGCAGCAGGGGGGAAUAUUGCACAAUGGGCGAAAGCCUGAUGCAGCCAGGCCGCGGGUAUGAAGAAGGCCUUCGGGUGGUAAAGUACUUUCAGCGGGGAGGCGUUACCCGCAGAAGAAGCACCGGCUAACUCCGUGCCAGCAGCCGCGGUAAUUC